rnacentral:snRNA from 1 species
AUACUUAUCCUGUCAGGGAGUUACCUUGAUCAAGAGAGGAUAGUAUAACACUGUGAUCUUGGAUGGGGGGCAUUCCCAGGGUGAGGUUUAUCCAUUACAUUUUGGUUAUGAUGACCCUGAGAUUUACACAAAUGUGGGAUACCUUUGUACAUCAUUGUGGCAAUGGAGAAACUACAGGUAUGCUUUC